rnacentral:rRNA from 1 species
AGAGUUUGAUCAUGGCUCAGAAUCAACGCUGGCGGCGUGCCUCAGACAUGCAAGUCGAACGAUUAAACUCACCUUCGGGUGAGAUAUAAAGUGGCGCACGGGUGAGUAACACGUAGGUAAUCUACCUUUGAGUGGGGAAUAACGUUCGGAAACGAACGCUAAUACCGCAUAAUGCAGCGGCACCGCAAGGUGACAGUUGUUAAAGGAGCAAUCCGCUUAAAGAGGAGCCUGCGGCAGAUUAGCUAGUUGGUAAGGUAAUGGCUUACCAAGGCGACGAUCUGUAACCGACCUGAGAGGGUGGUCGGUCACACUGACACUGAAUAACGGGUCAGACUCCUACGGGAGGCAGCAGUCGGGAAUUUUGGGCAAUGGGCGAAAGCCUGACCCAGCAACGCCGCGUGAAGGAUGAAGUAUUUCGGUAUGUAAACUUCGAAAGAAUGGGAAGAAUAAAUGACGGUACCAUUUAUAAGGUCCGGCUAACUACGUGCCAGCAGCCGCGGUAAUACGUAGGGACCAAGCGUUGUUCGGAUUUACUGGGCGUAAAGGGCGCGUAGGCGGCGUGUUAAGUCAGCUGUGAAAUCUCCGAGCUUAACUCGGAACGGUCAGCUGAUACUGAUGUGCUAGAGUGCAGAAGGGGCAAUCGGAAUUCUUGGUGUAGCGGUGAAAUGCGUAGAUAUCAAGAGGAACACCUGAGGUGAAGACGGGUUGCUGGGCUGACACUGACGCUGAGGCGCGAAAGCUAGGGUAGCAAACGGGAUUAGAUACCCCCGUAGUCC